rnacentral:rRNA from 1 species
CGCCAUUUAAAGUGGUACGCGAGCUGGGUUUAGAACGUCGUGAGACAGUUCGGUUCCUAUCUACCGUGGACGUUGGAGACUUGAGAAGAGCUGUUCCCAGUACGAGAGGACCGGAAUGGACGAACCUCUGGUGUUCCGGUUGUCACGCCAGUGGCAUUGCCGGGUAGCUAAGUUCGGAAGGGAUAACCGCUGAAAGCAUCUAAGCGGGAAGCCCCCUUCAGGAUGAGGUCUCCCUGACCUUUAAGGUCACUAAAGAGCCGUUUAAGACUAAGACGUUGAUAGGCAGGAUGUGUAAGUGCGGUAACGUAUUGAGCUAACCUGUACUAAUGACUCGUGAGGCUUGAUCAU